UGCGUGUCAUGCACGUUUUGAUAGCUCGAUUUGCGUCGAUUGCGGGGUGGGAGGGGGGGGCUAGUAGCGGCGUAGCCAAGUGGGGCACGCCGGGCACUUGUAACGCUCACUAACAGUAAAUUUUUUGCUACUAUGGCAAUGACCCCGCUCCUUCCCCCUCCACGGUCAAUUGGGACCCCACCCCCCCUCACACGAAAAAAAAUUUCUGGCUGCACCACUGUGGGGAGGGGGGUGUAAGAUUGCUCCAGACCCCUCCCCCUAACUUGUCAACGGAAACGGGGGAGGGUUGGGCCGCUGCCACCGGGCCGCAAGCCUUAGGCAGCCCAAUUACCGGCUGCAUUUCCCUUUGGACGUGAAUACUGCUCUAAUGUCAUUACACUGUAGGAUUCGUGCCGGUUCGAGGGCCCCCAUGCGACAAUAAAAAAACACAUACAGCCAUCAGCAAGUCUUAGCUUGAGCAGAUCUUUGGGAGCUGGGCAAGACUCUCAUAAAAAAAAAAAAGCUUGGCACCCCUCUUACAUGCAUUGUCAACUCUGGGUCACCGCUGACUGCACAUUUCCGGUAAAAAAAAUCACACAGGAACUCCUCUCGGAUUUGUCUAAGUAUGCGUAAGCAUUGUGACUCUUCCUCAUCCACAUGCAGUCCAUGUCGUUAUCAAUGUUAUGAGACUUGAUCCGACGAGUAUAAGCGACAGCGCUGCGGCGACACGAGCUGCUGUGGUCGGCGGCGCGAAGUGAACGGUGCAAGCAAAGUACUGCAGGUGGCGGGGCCAGGUGCGCUGUGACGUUACGUUCGUUUUGAGCCGUUAUCGCUCUUUAGCACUUCUCAACCGCGUCGAACCAUUAUCAACCGUUCUCCGGCGGCGGCGGCUGCUUGUGGCACGGCCGCGCGAACCGUAUCUGGAAAGCGAACUGCAAUUUGGACAGAGCGUGCCCACUGCUGAAAACUUCACGCGCUGUGUUCUCACCGUUUACUUCGCUUUGAAAACAGACGCGCGUACACCUAUCUUGAAAGUGAUCUGCGAAAAGAGCAUAGUGCGGCAUAAGCUGAGAGCUUCGUGAGCGCUGUGUUCUCGCCGCUUCAGUCGCGUUGAAGCGAGAGCUAGCACGAAGGUGAAUUCACUCGCUGCUGCGGGUUCUAUCUUGAAAGGUAUCGUGCGGUACGGACUGACGGACGGAUGGUUUUUAUUUGUGGGUAAUUAUAGAAAUGCUUACGUUAUAAAAAAAAUCGCAGGGUUCGCGGAUGUCGCGAUAACAACCAACUCCGUCUUGAUCGCCCCCUCCCCACCCCGGGAAAAGGGACACUACGCUUCUACCUCAGUAGAAGAAACGAUGAUGACACGUUAACGACAAGAACGGCAUCUUCUAACGCGUUGUCUUAUGGCCUCCGAGAUUUGCGCGCAAAGCUGGCGCGCGCGAACCUGGGGGGCCAUAAUUGGCUGCUUAAUAGCAUUAAAGGACAAAAAGAUAAUACCAAACGACACAGUAAAAAUGCAAACAAAGAACUGAUCUUCGCUAUACUGUUUGGGGAAAAGAAAUAAAAAAAUUAGACAGCCGCAACACACGCCACUAAAGCCACCACCGCCGGCAUAACGCGGAACCAACAGUUGGCAACAUUCAUUCGCGCUUCAUUGUCCGCUUCGUCUCCGCAACGAGAGCCGCCAUCCUUUCGCGCCGGCCGUGUUGUCAUAGUUUUGUUUUUCUGCAAGUCCGCGCACGCAGCUCAUCGGUAGCUGCACGGGUGCACGGCGUCGCAUUGCGACCUGCGGCAUUUUCUCGUGUUCGCGCAAUCGGUGUGAAACAUGUCGCAUGUGAAAUAUUUGAUAGAAGUGCCUCACGUCCAAGUCAAGCCGCCGUACGGGUGUACGGCUGUGUGCCCCGUUCUCGGAAUCGUCGACGGGUUUCCGGCAUGCGGAUUUCAGCGUUUGGACUCGACUUUUGGUGAGGAUGUCGAUCGACCUUGGGCCUGGUGACAGCACACCCGACAUGGCCAAAGUGCAGCCUAUCAGUUGAGUGCCCCCGAAUGGACCAUCAACAUCGGAAAAUGAAACAGAGCCAGGGGGAAAAGGUUCCGGUAACACCAUGCAUUCAGUAUGGUGGCCCAGACGUGUAUGCAAGCAAUCUCCUUCAUGUGGACCAAGAACUACUCUGCAGUGUCUCGCAGACUUCCAUGCGAAGUCCUCAACAUUCUCGUCUCAGUAGAAUGGCUGCUCAUCUAUCUGCGUGUCCAUCACCAAGACGGCCAGUUGUAAAGCUCCUGUACCCGUUUAAGAAAGCUUAAUGAUUUUUUUAUUUAGUUUUCACAGUUGGCCGUAGAAUCUUAAAAUUUUUGAUGCUUACAACAUUUUUACCUGGCACAAAGUGGUGCAAUAACUUUAAACCAGUGUAAUGUAUUUAAGUGAUGCUCACUCUAAUGCCUAUCUGGUUUUGUUAGUGUUUAAGAAAUUUGUA